rnacentral:rRNA from 1 species
GUGAGUAACACGUGAGUAACCUGCCCUUAACUCUGGGAUAAGCCUGGGAAACUAGGUCUAAUACCGGAUAGGAGCGCCUACCGCAUGGUGGGUGUUGGAAAGAUUUAUCGGUUUUGGAUGGACUCGCGGCCUAUCAGCUUGUUGGUGAGGUAAUGGCUCACCAAGGCGACGACGGGUAGCCGGCCUGAGAGGGUGACCGGCCACACUGGGACUGAGACACGGCCCAGACUCCUACGGGAGGCAGCAGUGGGGAAUAUUGCACAAUGGGCGAAAGCCUGAUGCAGCGACGCCGCGUGAGGGAUGACGGCCUUCGGGUUGUAAACCUCUUUCAGUAGGGAAGAAGCGAAAGUGACGGUACCUGCAGAAGAAGCACCGGCUAACUACGUGCCAGCAGCCGCGGUAAUACGUAGGGUGCGAGCGUUAUCCGGAAUUAUUGGGCGUAAAGAGCUCGUAGGCGGUUUGUCGCGUCUGUCGUGAAAGUCCGGGGCUUAACCCCGGAUCUGCGGUGGGUACGGGCAGACUAGAGUGCAGUAGGGGAGACUGGAAUUCCUGGUGUAGCGGUGGAAUGCGCAGAUAUCAGGAGGAACACCGAUGGCGAAGGCAGGUCUCUGGGCUGUAACUGACGCUGAGGAGCGAAAGCAU